rnacentral:lncRNA from 1 species
UCAGUGCGGCUUGUCCUGUGCAGCCGGGCUGGUCCUCAGGAAAUUGAUGCUUCCCAUCACUCGCCUGUCUUCUUGGAACAACUUCAGGGUUUAUUGAAUCUGGAAAGAAAGAAGAGCAAAAAAAGGGAACCAUGUACAUCGCACAAAUCAGUUGUUCUGACAGUUUUAUUAAAUAAUGGGGCGGUUCAAUCAUGUUGUGAAACAAGGCUCUGGGGAGGAGGCAAGAGGCAGGAUCUGGGGCUGGAAUUUCUGGAAGAAGUCUAGCAUCUUCCGGAAUUGAUCGAGCCUCCUUCAUACUGUGGAAGAUGUGGGUUCAGACCCAGGCUUUCCACCAGCAGCGGGGUGGCUGGGAGCCUCGCCCUCCCUGCUCCCACCUGCUUGCUUCCCAGAGGGUCAGGUGCUGGUGCUCCAGGCCUGCUUGCUGUGGGAGGGAGUCGCUGAGGAGAGCCAGGGAGCCAUGAGAAUUCCCUCUUCAGGGCCUUUUCUAGGAGGGCAAGAGGAGGCCGAGGCCCUGAGAGAGCCAAUAUGGGGUCUGGGCCCUCGGCUGGGAGGGUGGAGGCGGUGGAGGAGACACGUCUAUUUGACUCCACCUGCCGGGAGCUGGGUGGCUUGUGCUAGGAGACCCUGGCAAGCCCCCCAGCCCCUGCACCGCCCUCCCCACCCGGCCCAAGCUCCUGGCCUUCAGCAUCCAGAGCUCCCAAUGAACUUCCCAGGUCUCCCCAGGAUUCCCAAGGAACCUUCAUGCAAGAUGCAGUGGACUCAGAUAGAGAGGGCCCAGCCAGGCACGCCCUGAGGCCUCUUCCUGGGGCUUCCACAGGUCUCCUGCAGCUGCUGGACACUGAGGGACGCUGGCCACUGUGGGCAGUACAGCAUGGUGCUUGGCAGGCGGGGCCUGGAGCCUGCCGGGUCUCUCCUCCUCCAGCCUCGGCUGCCGUCCACAGAAUGGGAAAUACCUGUGACUUCCUGGGACAGGAUGGGAUGUGGUGGCUGCGUGGAUGUGCACCAUGAGCUUCCGGGCCACCCUGCUCGGCGCUGACCAGUCCUUACCAGCCCUCCUGUCCAUCAUCCUCCCCGUCAUGGCCCUGGCUGCACCUCCGGAUGGAUCCAGCCCAAGCCCCGUCACACAGCAGUGGCCCGGUCCCCCUUGGAAUGGCGAGCCUGACCCUCCACCGCCAACCUCCUCUGACCUUCCGAGGCCCCUCUGACGCUCACACUGCUGAACUUCACAAGAACUUGGAGCAUCCCUUUCAAAUGGAAGGGCCGGAUCCUGCAGAUUAGGAGACUGAGUCCCAAAGAGGGGCAGUCGCUUGCCCAAGGCCAUGUGGCUGUUAGUGUUGGAGUCAGAAUUUGAAGCCAGGGAGGCUGAUCUUGGAACACCUGCUGUCAACAGAAACUUCUGACAAAAUACAGAGGACUGCCAUGCCUUCCGGGGUGUUCUCCCAGAGAUGCCCCUUCUGCUAUCCUGCCUGUGCUGCUGCCCUGAUCAUUACUGCAAAUGGCUGGAUUCAUCUUUGUCAAGUUUGCACUUUCACCAAAGUUUGAAUUAACGUCGACAUUAAUUUGCUGAUGAAGCGCCUGCAGUAGGUCAUAUAGCGUGAGCACCUGUGAUUUCCAAGGAAAUUAUUGUAAUGUGCUAAAUGGGAGAUUUAAAGGUUAGUUG